rnacentral:misc_RNA from 1 species
AGCAGCCGCGGUAAUUCCAGCUCCAAUAGCGUAUAUUAAAGUUGUUGCAGUUAAAAGCUCGUAGUUGAAUUUCGGGGUUAGUAGGUUGGUCAUGCCUCUGGUAUGUACUGGUCUCACUGAUUCCUCCUUCCUGAUGAGCCGUAAUGCCAUUAAUUUGGCGUUGCGGGGAAUUUGGACUGUUACUUUGAAAAAUUGAGUGUUUAAAGCAAGCUAACGCUUGAAUACAUUAGCAUGGAAUAAUGAAAUAGGACGUUCGAUCCUAUUUUGUUGGUUUCUAGGAUUAACGUAAUGAUUAAUAGGGAUAGUUGGGGGCAUUAGUAUUCAAUUGUCAGAGGUGAAAUUCUUGGAUUUAUUGAAGACUAACUACUGCGAAAGCAUUUGCCAAGGAUGUUUUCAUUAAUCAAGACGAAAGUUAGGGAUCGAAGACGAUCAGAUACCGUCGUAGUCUUAACCAUAAACUAUAGCCGACUAGGGAUCGGAUGAUGUUUAAUUUUUAAUGUACUCAUUCGGCGUCCUUACG